rnacentral:lncRNA from 1 species
UAUAUAUAUAUAUAUAGUUUGGUAUUGAAACCCUUUUGACGCUAUUAGAUAAAAUGAAGUUAGGAUAAAAGUAUAUGGGAAUAUGCUUCUGCGUUUACUGGUGGAACCGCAGAAAAUAUAUUAUAACCGACUCAUCACAAUAUACGGAAUGCAAUAUUCCAUAUGAAAACAAACAGAAUAUUUUUUUAUUGUAUUUUCUCGGAGCUUGUAACAUAAUCUCUCUACAUUCCUAAAAGAAACCAGAAUAUAACAGAAGA